GACGUAGGGUGCAAGCGUUGUCCGGAGUUACUGGGCGUAAAGGGCGCGUAGGCGGUACGUUGCGUCGCACGUGAAAGCCCCCGGCUCAACCGGGGAGGGUCGUGCGAUACGGGCGUACUGGAGGCAGCGAGAGGCGGGUGGAAUUCCGGGUGUAGUGGUGAAAUGCGUAGAGAUCCGGAGGAACACCAGUGGCGAAGGCGGCCCGCUGGCGCUGACCUGACGCUGAGGCGCGAAGGCAUGGGGAGCGAACGGG
rnacentral:rRNA from 1 species